AUACGGAGGGUGCAAGCGUUGUUCGGAAUUAUUGGGUCUAAAGGGUCCGUAGCCGGUUUGGUCAGUCCUCCGGGAAAUCUGAUAGCUCAACUAUUAGGCUUUCGGGGGAUACUGCCAGACUUGGAACCGGGAGAGGUAAGAGGUACUACAGGGGUAGGAGUGAAAUCUUGUAAUCCCUGUGGGACCACCUGUGGCGAAGGCGUCUUACCAGAACGGGUUCGAGGGUGAGGGACGAAAGCUGGGGGCACGAACCGGAUUAGAUACCCGGGUAGUCCCAGCCGUAAACGAUGCUCGCUAGGUGUCAGGCAUGGCGCGACCGUGUCUGGUGCCGCAGGGAAGCCGUGAAGCGAGCUACCUGGGAAGUACGGCCGCAAGGCUGAA
rnacentral:rRNA from 2 species